CUCCAGCCUGGGCGAGAGCAAGACUCUGUCUCAAAAAAAAAAAAAAAAGAAAAGAAAAGAAAACACAAGGUGUAGUAGUUAAGGGUCUUUGAAAACCAAAUGACACAGUGCCCAUAUCCAACUGACUUAAUAAAGGACAAUGAUUGGCUCCUGGAACAAAAGGGGGAUGGCUUCAGGAGGGGCUUGAUCCAGCAGUUUGUCUAGAGACCCGUUACCCAUUAUCUGCUUUCCCUCAGGCUGGCCUUGUGCUCAGGCUCCCCUGUGAGGCUCUGGGAGCAGCUCAGUCUUCCGUUGGGGCUGCAGAGGGGCAGUGCCACCCCUGGGCUCGUGUUCCCCUGCUGGGAAUCCUAAGGAAGAGGGGGAAGCAUUCUCUUUUUCAGAAGCCCCAGAAAAUGUCUCCUCAGGACUCAGUGGCUCUAUUUGAUUUCUCCCCUAUCCAUUAACUUGCUGCUCUUCUGGUGGGCAUGGAUGUGCGGUUGCAUUUCAGCCUAUCAGGGCCUGGCCUGGAGCUGGGGAUGGGGUCAGUCCCAUUCAAGUCACAGAUCUGGGAAUGGUGGUUCUCCUGGAGCAACAUCUGGGUGCUGCAACACCAGGAGGGGCCAUCCAUGGUGGCAAGAAAACCCAGAACUGUCCACUGAAUGGGCCAAAGGAGGGAAUUAAGAUCAGCCUUGGUGCCGCCACCGUGGCCACUGUGGCACGGGGGCCUGUGCUUCCAGACCUGGGUGAUGCGUGGAAUGGUGAUGGUGACUAUGCGGAUGCUCCGAGGGGAUGACGGCGUUCCCUGAGUGAUCACUGCGCCCCAUGCUCGGUGCUCAGCACUGCUCAAUACACAUUGAGCCAUUGAAUCCUCAGCACCCCAGACAGAGUUCAGUUAUUGGACAGAGAUUUACGGAGCCCCUGUUCUGUGCUGGUCAUUGGCAUGGGUAGGAGAUGGAGACGACUCCCCAUCAUGGGCUGUGUUCUUGCAGGCUUUCCCCAUGUUACAGCUGUGAACACUGAGGCCCAGAGAAAUGAGGCCACACAGCUGGAAUGUUGCAGAUCUGAGAUCCAACCCCAGGGCCUUUUACUCCAAAACGUGUGUGCUUAAUGUGUGUCUAUACAUGCUGGCGAGUUUUCUUUUUAAACAGCUGAUCGCCCUCAGAUGUCCACCGCUGGCCUGUUUGGCUGCCCUUCUCCAGGCCAGCAGCCAAGACACAGUGCUGCCCGCAGGGGCGACCGACUGGGAGCCUUGAAACAAGUGGAGCUGGUGAAGCAGGGCCCUGAGCUGUGUGCAUGGGGCCUGGCUGCAAAUGGCCCAAUGAAGGCUCCAUGCAUUUCCAUUUUUGAAGCUUGAGCCCUUUCUUCUCCAUGAGGCUGACCCACUAGGCUGGCUUGGUCACAUACUAGCUGUGCCGUCCUAGCUUAGUUACUUUACCUCUCUGGGCCUCAGUUUACUCAUCUGCAACGGGUCGGCAAACUACUACCCUCGCCCGAAUCCAGUCCGUUGCCUAUUUUUGUAAAUAAAGCUUUAUUGGCACACAACCAUGCUCACUCAUUCACAGAGCGGCUGCAGCUGCUUUUGCACAGGGCAAGAGACCCUGUGGCCCGCAAAGCCUGAAGCCCCUCGAUGUGACCCUUUCUGGAAAACCUGCCAAUCCCUGACCAGCAGAUGGGAUGAUUGUGUGCGGGAGAGUGUAGGCUCUGAGAGGGCGAGGCUGUGUCUGUGGCUCUCACCAGAGUGUCCCCUCCCUGUCACCAACCCAUGGGGUCGUUGCAAGACUCGGAGAGAAACUGUGUUCAGUGUCAAGCACAAGGCGCACAGUACGUGCUCAGUAACCUCUAGCUUUGGUUCCUCCCGUGAUUAAACAAAGGCAAGGAGGACUGCCCCGACAGGCACAGAGGGCCCAGGGUCUGGAAUAGGAGCUGAUCCUCGGGUUAGACCACUCGGCUCUUAAAGUGGCUGGCGGUUGAGAGGCUUGUCUCAGCUGCCGCUAGGUGCAAAUUAAAAGGAUUAAUGGACACCGCCGUCUUUGAAAGGCUCAAGGCCCACCGAAGCCCCUUCAGCAGAGGGCUCUGCAUUCUCUCUUCCCCAGUCCUCCUUGUGUGCCCCCGUGAGUGGCGGUGACAAUGCUCCCGGAUGUGGGCCCCAGGGCCAGCGGCCCCGGAGCUGCCCGCCCACCCGUCCGCCAGCUAUUGUCUGCUCCGGCCUGGCGGUGUGGCGCUGGGCUUGUGGGGCCCCAGCAGGCAGGGGACUGUGGGAACGGAUUAGAGGUCCUGGGCUUGCUUUCCUCGUCUUGCAUAAACUCUUGAUCAAAGACAUUCCUGGGAUGACAGAGCCCUGUGAGCUGCGAGGCUGGCCCAGCGUGCGGGACGCACACCCCAUGCUGCAGCCCCUGCACAGGCCUGCCCUUGCUGGCCCUCGCUGGCCCUGGCUGCAGUGCUGACUCUGGGGACUAGCCUUAUGGUGGGACUGGUGAUGGAGCGGGUGCCAGGAGGCAACACAGCCUUCCCCACCAGAUUCAGAGGCCAGGCCCUCGAUGCUGGGCAGAGCCAGGCUGUGACUCUGCUUCCUGGGGUGCUUCAAGGAGGGUCACGCUGCAUGCAGGGUGGCUGGAGGGAGUGCCAGCUGCAUGCCACUGCUGCUGGGCCUGGCUUCUCUGGACUCCCACGGGCACUGCCCCAUCCUCUGCAACAGCCCUGCCCACUGUUAUCCCACAAGCACGGUCGGAAGUCUGCAUGCCCGCUCUGUCCAGCCUCCUUCCUCUGUCCCCUCGGGGACUUUCACUCCUCAUGACAACUCUAGGUGUUGUCUGGGCCCCUGGGGAAUCCCCGGCCCUUCCAGCCAUGGAGUCAGCUCCUGGCACGCGGAUCAGGCUGGACCUAUGGAUCUGCAACUCAGCCUGGCAGCUUGGGGCUGCCCUGUGGGAGCUGACACGACCUCCCUUCCAUGUGGCCCCCUUCCUAGGACCCACUGUUUGCCAGGGUGGGGAGAAGGGAGGCAGAGAGGAAUCAGGGAGACUUCCAUCCUAGAGGGACUCAGCCGGAGCAGGAAGGUGCCCAGGUAUGACAAUCCCAGACUGCCAGAGCCACCUGCCUGGUGUGGGGUGGGGAAGCCUCCAGAGAGCCUGUCCUCACAGUGAGUGCGGAGAUGAAGGGUCCUGUGGACCAAGGCGGUGGGCCAAGCACAGAACAGGAAGCUUGAUUCUGUCUGGUGUGUCAGGAGCUCCUGGGCAAAGACAUCGAGCUUACUGGGGCUCAAGGCUGGGUAGAGAUGGGGCUGAGUCCCAAGGACCUUGGACGGAGCUGAAGGGAGAUAGGAAGGCCGGGGGUUGGGGGCAGAAGAUGAAGAAUGGAUGAGGACUGUCUGCCUGCAGGGACAGGGGCCAGGAGGCAGGGCAGGGC